rnacentral:rRNA from 1 species
GACGAACGCUGGCGGCGUGCUUAACACAUGCAAGUCGAACGGAAAGGCCCUGCUUUUGUGGGGUGCUCGAGUGGCGAACGGGUGAGUAACACGUGAGUAACCUGCCCUUGACUUUGGGAUAACUUCAGGAAACUGGGGCUAAUACCGGAUAGGGGCUCCUGCUGCAUGGUGGGGGUUGGAAAGUUUCGGCGGUUGGGGAUGGACUCGCGGCUUAUCAGCUUGUUGGUGGGGUAGUGGCUUACCAAGGCUUUGACGGGUAGCCGGCCUGAGAGGGUGACCGGCCACAGUGGGACUGAGAUACGGCCCAGACUCCUACGGGAGGCAGCAGUGGGGAAUAUUGCACAAUGGGCGGAAGCCUGAUGCAGCAACGCCGCGUGCGGGAUGACGGCCUUCGGGUUGUAAACCGCUUUCGCCUGCGACGAAGCGUGAGUGACGGUAAUGGGUAAAGAAGCACCGGCUAACUACGUG